GGGGAUGUGGCUCAGUGAUAAAGUGCUUGCUUCAGAUGCAUGAAGCCCUGGGUUCAAUCCCUUGCACCACCA
rnacentral:tRNA from 1 species